UUCACAUAAUACAAAUCCUAGCCUCCUAUAUCUCUCUCAGCAGCCGCCUGCCGCACCCAUCGCUUCUGCUGCUGUCCGCCGCGGGGUUGUUCAAAUAUUCCCAAAAUUUCACCAUAUAAUCUACCAUACGUCCUCUUUUCAUAUCUUCAAACCAAACCCUUCAAACCUCCCUCAAACUCAAUUUGAGAUCUAGGAAACCCUAGCCGCCACCUUUUUUCCUUAAAUUCGUGAAGUUCCGACCACCACCACACUAUAAUACUUACAUUAAUGGAUAGAGCUUCUCAAGAGCGACCUAUUUAUGUUAAUUUCAAUCCUAAAACCCGGCAACCAUUUUCCGGCCAGUCCUGGCAACCGCCCAACGCCACCACUGCUUUCACCAUUUUCUCCACCCACUGCUAAACGACACCCAAACCACCAAUUUGAGGCUUGGCAGAGACCCCAUAUCGGCAAUAACUGAGUGAGGCUUUUUCUAAGUUUCAAGCUUGGUGGCCAUAGGUUAUCGUCUCAAUUACACAUCCGCAAUCGUAUAAGGAAAUUUGGAUCCCAGCAUAGCGCAAAAUUGUAAUCCCUUCUCUUUUUACUGAUUUUCUAUUUUUUCCUUCCUAAUUAAUUUUAGAUUUCUGUUUAUGGUUAAGCUAUGUCUCGUUUUUUUAUAUUUUGUUUAAUUCUGGCUGCACCGUCAUUUAUUUAGUUUGGUUGUGAUCAAUCACUUAACUGUUAAUACGCGCUUAAACAUAGGUUUCGUCUCUGAUUUCUUUUUUCGCAACGUCAUGGGUUAUUUUCUAGCUAUUAAAAUGCUGAAUUUUCUGAUUUUACACUAGUUUAAAUCAGUUUGGUUAGUUUGAUAUUAGUUUGUGAAGGUUAAAAUAUAAAUAAUGGAGUAGAGUACAUGUUUGGUUUCUUUUACUGUUUUGGAGUUGUUGGGAGUACAUCUACUUUUGUUUGUGUCUGAAAUUAGUGAAAAAGGGCAUUCCUUUUCUCAUUUUUUAGGUUGAUUUUUGGUUGAGGAAAAACCUAACCUCAAGGACCUUCUGCUACAAAGGAGGGGGGAGCUGAAUACAUUACAGUAAGCUGAAACCAAGUCAAAAUCUUCCAAAGUAGUAAAUUUAGUUUCUUUGAAAGUGCUUGAAGUACCUGGUGUUUGAUUUUCUGGUUUGUUUUGGGUGUCCUUUGCUGGUUUUUCGCUGAUGUUGCUUGUUGGUUUUGGCUGGGUUUAGUUGUCGUUUUUCUCUACCUUACUGCUGCGAUUAAAAUUCUGCAUUCUCUGUAACCUUCAACCUUGUAAUUUUGUUUUAUUCGAUUGAAAGUGAAGAAGAGUCGUAUAUACGAGUUCCUUUCAGUUUCUUUGGUUCUUAUUCUACUUCCUGCUCGUUAAAAGAAUGCAUGAGCGCUGAAAUUAUUAUAAGUAAGCAAUAAAGUAGAGUAAUUUAUUUUACGUUCGUUUAAAU
rnacentral:lncRNA from 1 species